AANGAANUANNGGGCCNCCCANCGGGGAGAAUGGNNUAUUNGAGCAACCGGANAACCUUCCUGUUUUAAAAUNUCGGANCUUCCANNACGGAAGGGUCCNUCGGAGCGUAAANAAGUGCUUCAUNGCGUCGUCACCCCGUUUNUGANAUUUUGGUUAAAUCCCGCAACGAGGGCAACCCUNUCCNUAGNUGCCAUCAUUCAGUUGGGCACUCUAAUGAGACUGCCGGUGACNAACCCGAGGAAGGUGGGGAUGACGUCAAGUCCUCAUGGCCCUUAUGACCAGGGCUUCACACGUCAUACAAUGGUCGGUACAAAGGGUAGCCAAGCCGCGAGGCGGAGCCAAUCUCAUAAAACCGAUCGUAGUCCGGAUUGCACUCUGCAACUCGAGUGCAUGAAGUCGGAAUCGCUAGUAAUCGCAGGUCAGCAUACUGCGGUGAAUACGUUCCCGGGUCUUGUACACACCGCCCGUCACACCAUGGGAGUGGGGGAUACCAGAAGUAGGUAGGGUAACCGUAAGGAGCCCGCUUACCACGGUAUGCUUCAUGACUGGGGUGAAGUCGUAACAANGUANCCA
rnacentral:rRNA from 1 species